UAAAUCAUUCUCUGUUAGCAGUAGCUUAACUGCUCACAAGCGUAUUCAUACAGGUGAGAAACCAUAUACCUGUACUAUCUGUGGAAGAUCAUUCUCUGUUCACAGCAGCUUAACUAAACACAAGCGUAUUCAUACAGGGGACAAACCAUACCCCUGUGAUAUCUGUGGUAAAACGUUCUCUGGAAACAGUCACUUAACUAUACACAAAUGUAUUCAUACUCAAGAAAAAUAAAUUCACAGUGAUAUCUGUGGCAUAUCAUUUACACAAAAUCAUUUCUGAUUUAAACAGAAGUCUUUCCUUAUGCAGUGGGUCCAUAACACUGAUAUUUGUUGUAUAACAUUUCCUCAGAAGGACAAAGGACGUAUCUCAUAAAGACAUCCACAGAAUAUAGAAACUAUAUGAAUGUGACAUUUAUGGUAAAUCUUUGACAUGAAAUCAUCCAUUAUUGAAUCAAAAGAGCAUUGACAGAGGAAGGAAAACAUAUCACUCUGAUGUUAAACCUGAAUCAUUCUUUCAAAAUGGUGAAUUAAUUAUACACAGUCCUGUUAAUAUGAAGAAUAUGCCAUACCCUAAGAUAUCUGUUAAUGAUCAAUUAUAACAUAAAUGAAUUCAAAUAGAAGAGGAACCAAAUCACUACGAUGAUGAUCAUUUAACAUUCACUUUUACAUUCUUCUAUGGAUCAGAUUGAAUUCAUUGAUACCUUCCCUGUUUCCAAGCAAGGAGAUAUUUUCCCUGGUGAGACAUAUUUUACACAGAAGACUGGAAAUGAACAACUACACAAGUAUGACGGUCAUGAUGGCCAUUUAUGAACACCACAUAAUAUCUGGACAAGGGUGCACACACACACACACACACUUAUGUAUGUCUGAAGAUUUUCUUAUAGGAAAUAUCUUAUAUGUUUUCUACACAUCUAAUAGUUUGUAAUUCCUAUUAGGAAAUGAAACACAUGUAAUGCUGAAUAAAUAAUAUCAAACUUUUCUCCACUGUC